AGGUGGUUAAGUUUUUUUGUGAUUUGGGGUCUGAGCCUUCAACCUGGACCAUUUGUGUGGGAAGAGAUGGGAAAGGUAUGUUAUCUGUGUAAUUCCUUGGUGUUUGAGAAGAUGACAUGACACCUCAGUCAUUUUGCUCUGUACUAUUGUGCCUAUGUAACUAUGAUAACCAUGGCUGCUAUUUCCUUGGACCAACAUUGAGUAUGUGUUUUCCCAGGCUCUUCAGGUCUUAUGAAAGGGUGAUGCUCUAUCCCCUGAAGUCCCAAAUUAUUCUGAUGUGAGGCAAUCAUUCUUAUUUGGAUUGUGACCACCUGUGCUGCUUUGCCACAUGCCAUUUUCCAAAAGCUUUACCAACUGGAGAUUGGGUAAGAGGAACACAGGCUGGCCAGUGUUUGGAUUUCAGCAACCCAUGACCUUGGAAGCCUCAUGGACAAACUUAUGGAACAGGGGCUCCAUUUCAAAACAUGGGUACAAAAAUCAAUUUCUCCAAAUUGAAAUGUACUGAGAGUACCCAAGAACUCUCAGGACAAGUGGUCGCUAGGCAUAGCACUUUCUGUGUGGGGUCCAUGGAUUUCCUAUAUGUCAUGCUUGAGUUCUGGGAAAGAUGAAACUUAAAGCUCCCUACUUUAUAAUUCUAGUCUUCAGGCCCAGUGCAGACACAGAAUAAAUAUGUCUCUUCCUUAAGGCCUGUCAUAUAAUACCUGUCUGUGGGACUCAGGGAAAAGGCAAAUAAAGUUUUUUUUUUUUUCUCUUUGACUCUUAUAACCUAGAAACGUAACUGAAGAAACUGUCUGCCUCUUCAGUUUCCUGUACACUUCAAAAUCCAUGUGGAAAUAUCCUGACCUGAGUACAUUUUUGCUCUUCUUUGUCUUGCCAUUAAUGGUACUGGUGGUUGUCUAUGGUCAUGUGGCCUAGAAGCUGUGGAUCCAUAAUGAUGUGGGAAACAAAGGCAGAAGAAAAAUUAUUAAAUUUUCUUUCUACCUAUAGCCCAUUGACAAGUCCUUGAAACAGGCAAAGUGACAUCCUCUAGGGAUUCAACUGCCUUAAUGUUAAUACUUUGCUAAGAGCAAAAGGCAAUCCUAGCCUGACCUCUCCC